rfam:Pteropus alecto contig65359, whole genome shotgun sequence.
CAGAUGGCUUCUUUCGAAGCCAUCUCAGUCAGAUUUAAAAGCUUCUU